rnacentral:rRNA from 1 species
UACGAAGGGAGCUAGCGUUGUUCGGAAUCACUGGGCGUAAAGCGUGCGCAGGCGGUGAUGUAAGACAGGUGUGAAAUCCCCGGGCUUAACCUGGGAACUGCAUUUGUGACUGCAUCGCUGGAGUGCGGCAGAGGGGGAUGGAAUUCCGCGUGUAGCAGUGAAAUGCGUAGAUAUGCGGAGGAACACCGAUGGCGAAGGCAAUCCCCUGGGCCUGCACUGACGCUCAUGCACGAAAGCGUGGGGAGCAAACAGG